UCUAGUUGUAGUCUGUGAGAGAUUCAGAGGUCAUUGUUCAGAGGUUAUGUUGAGGUUAUCUAAUAAAUAAUGUAUUUGUGGGAUAUUUUGUUUGAUGACGAUGAUGAAGAAUUACUUCUCUUUAUGAAUAGACCUCGCUCAUUACGCUAUAUUGCAGAAAGAACUAACUUAUUUGAGACACUACCGGAUAAAACAUUUGUUAGGAGAUUUCGUUUGACAAAACAAACUGUAUCGCUUCUACUACAAGAAAUUCAACAACAUCUUGAAUUUAUUUCCACCAGAAAUAAUGCAGUUACUCCAAUGAACCAGUUGUUAUGCACACUCCGAUAUUAUGCAACUGGCAGUCAGUUAAUUACUUGUGGAGAUGUGAUAGGUGUGGAAGAACCAACAGCAGCUUGCAGAAUCAUUCAUAGAGUUACUCAUGCAAUAGCAUUAUUGUAUAAAAAAUACAUUAAAUCUCCUGAUACCAUUCAGGAACAACGUU